CAGGUGUGAAGGUGGCCGCAUUUCUCUCAAGCUCUCGCAUCUCCUCAAGUUUCUCUGCAACGUCAAGGCAUAAUGGGAAAGUCACAAGAGCAGGUUGAGGGCCAGCCACACGGGGACAUACAGCGGCAGACCGGGAUUGAAAGGUCCCAGGUCCCCCUGCAAAGGUCAACGCACUCUGCCUGUUACCGAGAAGUGCAGCCACAGGAGAGAGAGGAGCUUCUGCGGGUACCCGCGCCGCGGUCAACAGAACAGUUAACAUAAAAUAAGUACUUUUCAAUAUCACUUUUGUAACAAAAUCGAUCGACUUAUAAAAUGGAAUACACC